rfam:Chromobacterium violaceum ATCC 12472, complete genome.
GCCCGGAUGGCGAAAUUGGUAGACGCAGGGGAUUCAAAAUCCCCCGCCGCAAGGCGUGUCGGUUCGAGUCCGACUCUGGGCA